rnacentral:rRNA from 1 species
AAGGAGUCUACCUAUUAUGCGAGUGUUAAGGUGGAGAAACCUAAACGCGUACCGAAAGGGAUGUAAGAUGUGAAGCGCAAGCUGCAACAUCAACCAAUCUUGAUUCUCUGAAGAAGGACUUGAGUAAGAGCAUAAUCGGUAGGACCCGAAAGAUGGUGAACUACGGUUGAAUAGGGUGAAGCCAGGGGAAACUCUGGUGGAGGCUCGAAGCGAUACUGACGUGCAAAUCGUUCGUCAAAUUUGACUGUAGGGGCGAAAGACUAAUCGAACCAUCUAGUAGCUGGUUCCCUCUGAAAUUUCUCUCAGGAUAGCAGGAACAGAUUAUGCAGUUUUAUCAGGUAAAGCUAAUGAUUAGUGGAAUCGGGGGGUCUAGUAUCCUUGACCAAUUCUCAAACUUUAAUUGGUAAGAACUACGAGUUAUCUUAAUUGAACUCGGA